rfam:Chelativorans sp. BNC1, complete genome.
UGCCGGUUGUCCAAAGACCGGGGUUACUGAAGAGGCACACCUUCAUUGCCGGCAGUGCGGAGGGACAUCCCAUCCAAAGCUGAGGCAGACAAAGCGAGCCUUCGCCUUGCGGCGGAAGCUCAUCGCAAUGCGCAAGACGCGUCAA